rnacentral:misc_RNA from 1 species
UACGUACCGUGCGAACGUUAUUCGGAAUCACUGGGCUUGAAGGGUGCGUAGGCGGCUUAGUAAGUAGGGUGUGAAAUGCCAGGGCUCAACCUUGGCACGGCGCUCUAAACUGCUAAACUUGAGUGAGAUAGGGGUGUACGGAACUUCCGGUGGAGCGGUGAAAUGCGUUGAUAUCGGAAGGAACACCGGUGGCGAAAGCGGUACACUGGGUCUUAACUGACGCUGAGGCACGAAAGCUGGGGUAGCGAACGGG